UGGGGAAUAUUGGACAAUGGGGGGAACCCUGAUCCAGCCAUGCCGCGUGUGUGAAGAAGGCCUUAUGGUUGUAAAGCACUUUAAGCGAGGAGGAGGGUACUGGUAUUAAUACUACCAGGUACUGGACGUUACUCGCAGAAUAAGCACCGGCUAACCCUGUGCCAGCAGCCGCGGUAAUACAGAGGGUGCGAGCGUUAAUCGGAUUUACUGGGCGUAAAGCGUGCGUAGGCGGCUAAUUGAGUCGGAUGUGAAAUCCCCGAGCUUAACUUGGGAAUUGCAUUCGAUACUGGUUAGCUAGAGUGUGGGAGAGGAUGGUAGAAUUCCAGGUGUAGCGGUGAAAUGCGUAGAGAUCUGGAGGAAUACCGAUGGCGAAGGCAGCCAUCUGGCCUAACACUGACGCUGAGGUACGAAAGCAUGGGGAGCAAACAGG
rnacentral:rRNA from 1 species